ensembl:snoRNA SNORA70 Small nucleolar RNA SNORA70
CUGUAGGCAGUUAAGUGGACCAGGUUUUUUCCUCACAGAAGUAUGCAAGGGCUGCAAUAGCACCCUCCUUGGGAGCGUGUAGCCUGUUGCUUGUGUUGUGUAAGGGACCUUGGAGACAGUU